AAAAAGCAAUACAUACAUAUAUGAGGAAACUGAGGUUACUCUUCAACACACUGCAGUACUCACAUUCCUGUCCAGCUUGGAGACAACAUGGAGCGGAAAGCUGUUUCGUGUUUAUUUUCAUGUUUUCUCUUAAUUCAGUUUUCAAUUUUGUUUACCUGUUGACACAAGCUGACAUUGCAAUACAUGUCAGAGGAGUUAGACAGUACGAGCAAAUGUUGUAAGCUAAAGUAUAUUAAGUAUUAUUCUUUUCAAAUGUACAACUCUUAAUAUUUAAUGUGGAUUUUUUUUCAUUAAUUUUUUCAUUGCUUAGCAUUGUUAAUGAACAGCUAUUACAAUUUGCUGAUUUAAAUUUGCUUUACUAGGUUAUAGUGUUUUUUUUUUAAACUAUAGUUACUCUCAGUGUUCCUCAGAUCACAGAUUCAGUUAAGUUAACAAAACUUAAAUGGGUUAAGUAAAUAGGACUCAAAAUAAGUAAGGAAUACUUUUAAUAUAUUAGUAAAUAAGACUUAAAUUACACUUAAUACAAUUAGGUUAAAAUUACUUAAUUGAAUUAAGGCAACAAGCCUGCAGAAUUGAAUUAAGUAAAUGGAACAAAUUAUUUUUUACAGUGUGUAGGUGCAGAACUCUCUCUCUCUCUCUCUCUCUCUCUCUCUCUCUCUCUCCCUCUCUCUCUCUCUCUCUUUAUAUUUGUGUGUUUGUGUGUGUGUGUGUGUGUGUGUGAACUUUUUCAAUAUUUUCUUUCAUUUGUUUCAUCAAAAAACGUAAGUGUUUCCCUCUUCUCUCAGCUCAGUAAUAUCAUUAUAAGAGCAUCAGAGAAUUCUAGGUCUUUUAUAACUCCAGAUUCCACUUUAUGUCAAUAGAUUCUGAGCUGUGACAAAAGGUUGGCUUCCAUUCACUUCCAGUUAUGGACUAGUGAAUGGACUGUUGUUUGUCUCUGGAUGAUUUUAAUACUUAAACAGAUCCACUACAAUGUAACCUAUACAUUUCAAAAUACUGUAUCAUACAAAAUAACUCUGCGCCAAAUGCACUUAAGCAGCUGGUAAAUUAAACAAAACUGAUUUCAAUUAGGAAGAGGUGAAUUAAUAUUGUAUGUUCAGGGACACAAUGUAAUGUGAGGGGCAGACGAAAUUAACCUCAUAUUUAAUCAUUGUCACACCAGACAGAACAACAACAGAAAAUGACAAAACUCUCUCCCAUGAUGCUGCAUAGUAUGACUGGAAAGAUGCUUGUGACAGGUUGCUGUAAUCUUGGGAGAUUAUCCAGUAUAGUGGUAAUUAGUACAAAACCCAUCACAAACAAUUACGUGAAUGCAUUCCGCAUCAAGAAGCCAGUAACGUCGUGAUCCAUGGGAAAUUCAAUCAAGUCAUUUUUCUUCUGGGCAUUUUUAAUACUUGGCUGAAAAGACAUCUGAGAGACGUUCCACGCCUGAAUGACACUGAACGUGAAUAUUUAUGAUAGGACUGGAUUACCUUUUAUUUCUUUAGGAAACCCAAAAGACGUUAUACAAAAACAGUUGAUCAUUUCAUUUUGGAGGGCUGGGAUAAACAAUGGUGUCUCAGGAAACUGCAGGUGCUGAAACAUACACCACCAUUCAAAAAAUAAAAAAUAAAAAAUACACA
ensembl:lncRNA